rnacentral:tRNA from 1 species
GGGCGGGUGGCGGAACGGCAGACGCGCACGGUUCAGGUCCGUGUGUCCGCGAGGACGUGAGGGUUCAAAUCCCUCCUCGCCCAC